AUUGAACGCUGGCGGCAGGCCUAACACAUGCAAGUCGAGCGGAUGAAGGGAGCUUGUUCCUGGAUUCCGUGGCGGACGGGUGAGUAAUGCCUAGGAAUAUGCCUGGUAGUGGGGGAUAACGUCCGGAAACGGGCGCUAAUACAGCAUACGUCCUGAGGGAGAAAGUGGGGGAUCUUUGGACCUCACGCUAUUAGAUGAGCCUAGGUCGGAUUAGCUAGUUGGUGGGGUAAAGGCCUACCAAGGCGACGAACCGUAACUGGUCUGAGAGGCUGAUCAGCCACACUGGAACUGAGACACGGUCCAGACUCCUACGGGAGGCAGCAGUAGGGAAUGUUCCGCAAUGGGCGAAAGCUUGACCCAGCAAUGCCGCGUGAGUGAUGAAGGUCUUCGGAUUGUAAAACUCUGUAAGUUGGGAAGAACAAAAGUAUAAUAAACCAUGGAUGUUUUGACGUUACCAACAGAGAAAGCCCCGGCUAACUACGUG
rnacentral:rRNA from 1 species